rnacentral:lncRNA from 1 species
GGUAAUGAAAGGGAGUUUCCUUUCAAUCAGAGAACAGGGACUUUACAGAAUUUGUUGUCUACUUUAUUACUUGGAGCAUUAUGUCUACCCUCUGCUGAUAUCUGCUUUCUUUCCUAUGUAAUUCAGUAACAUGUAAUGUGGCUUUAAUCUCCUGUUCCCUCCUGUCUGUGUACUGUGAGACAAGAGAGACAGAUGAGCUCGGAAGUCAGGGGGCAGUGGAGUUGCAGCACAGCUGCGUACCUGUCAAGUCUCCUCAAUCAUCCAUUUGAUCACACUGCUUUCAAGGCCUGUAGAGAUCAAAAAAAACCUCUGCACACAUGGCAAGUCCCCAGGGAGGCAGCAAUUGAACCUAGUCAGAAAUGUGCGACGAAAGAGAGGAGGUCUUCCGAGAAAAACACUUUUGGGCCUUCUACUGAUGCAGACCAACCAGCAUGGAGACAUUGGAUAGAUACGCAAACUCAGGAGGAAAAGGAAAAUUUCACACGGCUUUGUACCCUGGUCAGAUGAAUGACAAGCAUUGCACUUCACAGUCAUGGAAAAGGUGUGCUCUGUCCCCAAUCCAUGGAAGCUCUACAAGGUGCUAUGUAAAGCAUGUGCCAGAUUUGCUACUGGUGCAGUUUGAAAUCUGCUGACAUGGAGAUGUACCGUAUCACAGCUCAACCUGUGAGUUUUGUUUUAUUCCCCUGCCUUUCUCUCAUAGGAUUAUUUUGUUGUUGUUCUUUGUUAUGCCUGUGCUUUUAAGACAUGUCUUCCUUCUUUGCUGUUUUUAGCAUUGUGUUUCCUAUUAAAUAUUGUGUUGGUAUUGGUGAGCUUGCUUACUUUUCUUUUUAUGCUGUUCUGAACUUUCCUCACCCCGUUUGUCACUUUUAAACCACACCCUGGUGAAAGGACUCAGAGAUGAAAU